rnacentral:lncRNA from 1 species
AUGCCAGUUGGAAGACUCAACAUAGUAAAUAUGUUAAUUUUCUUGCAUUUAAAAAGUUUCUAUCCACAGGUGCCUACUGAAUCACCUUUGAGACCACCCCAGCAGGUCUGGAGAAUCUUAUUGCAGUCUGGGGAAGGGAGGAGUCUAUGCUGCCCACUCUGCCUUGGAUGGUGGGGUGUUCAAUAAUAAAAGGUCCAGCUGCCGGGACAAUACUCAGCCAUGAUCAGGACUGCCCAGCUUCUGGCCUAGACGAAGGUAAGCCAAGGUAGGCAGACGAGACAAGCAGAAGGGGCAGCCUCAUUUUACUGUUCACUUUUCUCCUACCAACUCCCUGCCAAAUGGUGGAUAUGGUUACAAACCCUGUACAAUGGUAAAUUCCUUUAGCUUGCUUCUGGAUGGUUGAGCCACCUGGCAUGAGAAUGAAGAGAAAAGGGGACGUUAUGAGAUCAAGAGUGACCACAGUCCAGGAGUUAAGAAACUGGUCACAGUUGAAUCUUCAGGAAGAGACUUAUGAAGAGGAUGUAACAAUUGUCCAUUUUCUUGUUGGGGAGCCAGGAAAAUUCCAUUAGGGAAUUUGCAGCGGUUCCAGUAACCUGGAGCAUCUUCUGCAUUGAAUUGCAGAUGCUAGCUGAUUUGCUAUUGAAUAGCAUGGCCUCAGUGGGGAAUGUCCCCUAGUUUGCAUUUCUACAGAACUAAAUAUUUGAAUAGGCCUGCUCCAGCGCAGAGGGUCGGGUGUGUAAGUAACAAGUGAGGACAGAGAGAGUUAGGAGGGAUCAAACAGAGGGGUCUAACAGAGAGAGAAAUGGCCUCAUGGUCAGGGAAGCAUGGUUAGGAAACAGCCAGUGAAGGGACCAGCUCCCCUUUCGGCAGCCGUAACGGCUGAACACGUGCUCUAUGGCCUUGUCCUAGACACUAGAAAGUCAGAUGCCUGCCUCGUGACAAGGAACCAAUCAGAAGUUAGCUGGUGGUACUCUGGGUGUACUUUACAGACAAGCACACAGCAAUGACGCAGAGCAUAGCAACCACCCUGGGAGGGCCUAUGGGCCAUAACAACCAGUUGGCCAAUCAACACAGGGCAAACCCUCCAAGCCUGGAGGCACACCAAUAGUGAGCCUGUGCGUACCCCUAGACACUCCCCUUACGCUGCCCUAUAAGAUCUCAGUCCUGUGGCUUCUCAGAGUCUUUGCGAGCCAUCCGCCAUGGUGGGUGGGUGAAAGACCCGAGCUAACAUGGGGUUAGCUUGUUAAAUUACAAUAAAGCCUCAUGCAGUUUGCA